GUGGCAAGUUCCAGAAUGCCAAGUGACUUUCGCGUGAGGGAAUACUGUUUUCUUUGUAGGCGACUUUUAGAUGCUUGUUGCUGGUGAAGAUACUCACUAUGUAGAGAACAUUCUCAUGUUCCUCCUGGUCGCUGCUUGCGGACAGACAGUGGGUGAUCACGGGAUCACAUUCAGAGUUGGUUUCCUCUCUGCAGGGAGGACGGCCUCGGGCUUGGGGUGCUCUGUGGGGACAGCUGCCUGGCGAGACGGCCGGGGGCCAGGACUCUCUCGGGACUCCGGUCACGGCUGAUCGCAGGAAGAUAGCCCGGCAGGAGACUCGGACCUAAGACACCCCAGAGGAGGUGCUUCCUUAACUGCACCAGGGGAGCGAUGUGACAUGCCUGGCCCUGCCCAGUUUAAGUAACAUGCACCGGGGGCAGGAGGCUCCGAGCGCCCCUGGGGGAUGGGAAGGCCUUUCCCAGAUUUUGUUCAUAAGCCUCAGGUGUUAAAUUUCACGAGGAGGCUGGGAGUUUGCAAAUGUUGUGCAGCAUUUGGAAAGAUCUCUAGUCGCUGUGAACAUUCCAGAAAGUGACAUGCAAGUCUUCAAAGAGAUCCCGCCUUUGGAGCAGUGAUGUUCUCUCCUUAUUUGCCUGGUAAACGGAGCUUGGGUGUCAGUUGCAGCCUCACAUCCGGGGACAACUCACCUUGGAUGAAGUCCAGCCAAUUUUAUUGAAAAAAAAGGAAAGAAAGAGAAAAAGGCUGUUUCCUCAAUUGCUCAGUUGUCUGGCUCUGGCUCAUCAUAUCUUGAACUUCCUCACAGGGACAGAAAGACAGUUGCGGGAGCACUGGGAGGAGAGCACGGGUCUGGGACCCAGAAAUGCACCCCUGCACUUGGAAAGCCCCAGGGACAGACAUGUCCAGGCGGGCGGUCCCCCCCGGGGACUUGCUCCCGGCGCUGAGUGUCCGAGGGCGGCAACCACAGGGUGACUCCAGAGAAGCGGCCGUGUCCUCCCUCCCGAGCGCGGUCGAGCCC
rnacentral:lncRNA from 1 species